rnacentral:rRNA from 1 species
UAGGGAAUCUUCGGCAAUGGGGGGAACCCUGACCGAGCAACGCCGCGUGAGUGAAGAAGGUUUUCGGAUCGUAAAGCUCUGUUGUUAAGGAAGAACGAGUGUGAGAAUGGAAAGUUCAUGCUGUGACGGUACUUAACCAGAAAGGGACGGCUAACUACGUGCCAGCAGCCGCGGUAAUACGUAGGUGGCAAGCGUUGUCCGGAUUUAUUGGGCGUAAAGCGAGCGCAGGCGGUUAGAUAAGUCUGAAGUUAAAGGCAGUGGCUCAACCAUUGUAGGCUUUGGAAACUGUUUAACUUGAGUGCAGAAGGGGAGAGUGGAAUUCCAUGUGUAGCGGUGAAAUGCGUAGAUAUAUGGAGGAACACCGGUGGCGAAAGCGGCUCUCUGGUCUGUAACUGACGCUGAGGCUCGAAAGCGUGGGGAGCGAACAGG